rnacentral:rRNA from 1 species
GUCGUAGUACAUCCUUGCGGCCACAGCAACCAUGUUGUAUCCACCCGCCCUGGCCAUGCUGCUGAAUGGUGGAAUCGUAAUAGUCGGAGGAUAGCAUGCCAUCCUCCGAUGUGACCUUGCGUGCCUGGAGUGUUUACGUGUCCCCUGCAGGUGUUGUUGCAUGCAAGAGCAGUAUAACUUCAAUUCCCUUAGCCCUAUUCAUCCAAUGCGUCCAUCGGUGAUACUUGCAUUUUGCAUUGAUGUCGCUGAGAAAGCCACUCUAUCUGGUCUUGCUGCGAGAGUGACAAAGGCGAAAUAGUUCGACUGAUGCUGUUUGAAGUUAAAUGGGAAAAAUAAUACCAGGUCAGUAUGUGACAGAAUGCUAAUAAACACCUGUCGGAAUCCUUUGAGGAACUUGGGAGGAAUAAGGAAGAUAAUUUGUUGGAGGAAUCAUAGUAGAGUGAACUGUUGAGUCCUGCUUGUAUUUAAUUUUUCAGAUCUUGUAGUCCUGCAAGUAGCAGACCUACAUCAAAAUCAUCAGUUUUCAAAAUCC